rnacentral:pre_miRNA from 1 species
CACUAACUCAGGCUGGCAGGCCCCCAGGCUGGGCUGAGCAAGUAACUCUUCGGCAGGUUCACCUUCAAGCAUGACUAGGAGG